AAUUGCCCCAUUGGAAGUAUUUGGAGGAGAUGCUGUUAGCCCAGCUCCUGGCUCCCGCGUGGGUUUGGCGAGGGAGAACUCUGGGCAUGCGCAGGCCUCUCACCAACCGCUCGAAGCAGGUGGACCCCGCGCGAGACGCACGCAGGCCGGUGGGCGGUGCACGCGCAGACCCCGCCUCACUGUGGGGGCGCCCGCCAGUAACGGCCGUCCAAGUGGUGGGCCCCAGGGUCUGCAUCUCUGCCCCUGGCUCUGCACCCCCUCGUCCGCCCUCUCUCCCGAGGUCAGAGUCGCUGACUCCAUCUUCAGUGGAGGAAACUGAGGCUCUGAGAGUCGCUGCAGGAGCUGGCCUAUCACAGGGCUGGGACGUGGCCUUGCUAUAGGUUUGAACCCAGGUCGUUCUGACCCCAAAUCGGUUCCAGCACAGGAGCCUUGGAGAUAGCUCUGAACCAGGCUGACAUGGAUGAGGCAGCAUCGUCCACCUGCCGGAUGGAGAGUGACAGUGAGGGGCUGGGCCACGGUCCCCGAGACCCAGCGUUCGUGUGCCCAGGGCUCCACGACGUGUGGGCAGCUGAAGGCCAGGUGCGGCUGGAGGCCCUGCGGGGGCCCGAGGUCCCUGAGGACGAAGACGGUGUCGACUCCCAGAGCCCAAGGAUGGCGAGAGCAGCGGAGGCCCUGGACUCUGCGGGCGCCCCAUGCCAGCAUCCCGCAGGGGCGCCUCUCAGCCACUUCUGUGGUGUGGAGGGGGUGACUGGGCACCGGAAGGAAGAGCUGGGAAGAGCUGUUCGGGGAGGGGGGUGGCGUAAUCACCUUGUUUUCCUGGACAUCAGGGGCCUCGGGGUCACAGCCCACAUUGUCGUGACACACUGCAGAGUGGGGGAGCUGGGCACGUGCUCACGCAGUGCAGGGCAGCGUCCCCACGGCUGAGGUCGGCGCCCCACCUGAGCUGCUCACGGCCGUGGGGUGGGAGCUGGCCCUGGCCCUGGAGUCUGUGGGGGGGACCUGGUGACUGAUGGAGGGGCCAGCUCUGCAGGGGUCACAUCUGCUGGGUGAGUGGUGCUCUGGGGUGUCCAUGGGCAUACCCAGGGACCGUGUGCCCUGUACCCGGGAAGGUGCAGGGGACGUGCACAGAGGGCAGGGCCUGGGUGGUGGACAGAGCGCCGUGCUGGUGGGCAGUGCUCCUCGGAAAGUCAGCUGAAGCUAGCCUGGUGGACUGGCUCCAGGGCUGGGCCGGCUCUGCCUCUGGCAGCUGUGCCCAAAGUGCUGCCCGAGCCAGUGGAGAUGGGCGUGGCUUAGCUCUGGAGGGGAAGCCAGAGCGCGCUCUGACCCUGGAGCUGGUCCACAGGUGAGAAGGCGCUCGCGGCUGUGAGUGGGCCAGGUCAGGUCAGCCUGUUGAGCAGCGUGUCAUCUUGGCAGCAGAAGUGCGCUCGGGUGGUCUGGACUGUCUUUUUGGGAACAAGGUGCCCAGCUGGUCUUGGUCUCCAGUCUGUAAGUGCUUGGCUUCCCAGCUGGGUGUAGACCCGGCAGGGCACCCUGUGACUGCCCAGUGCAGGGGCAAUGAGAAGGUGCUGUUGGCAACCUUGAGCCCCUUUGGCUACAUGUGGGGGAGGGUUGAGCUGGCUCCAUGCCUGACCUCACCCCUCUGGUGACGGUCAGCAUCUCCAGGACAAAGUCAUGGUGGGUGGUGGAGCCAGUGGCACUGAGCACAUGGUGUUGUCAGAGGUCUUCACCUCUGGUGGGGCGGGGCACAGGAGGGUCAGCCGAGCUCUGGAGGGGGCUGCAGGCCAGGACAAGGGGCCUGCGGGCCGGGGCGAGGGGCCUGCUCGGAGACCGCAAGCAGGUUCAGCUGCGCCUCUUGCAGGGUCUUAGUUCCCUGACAGGGGAUUGAACCCGGGCCUGUAGCAGUGAAAGCCUGAGUCCUAACCCCUGGGCCACCAGGGAGGCCCCUCGGGACUGUUUCAUAAGAGGACGGGAGCCACUCUGACGUGUGGUGACAAUGAGUAGUUCCAGCUGAUCAUUUCCUCUUCUCAAAUUUAUGUGCUCUCGCCUCAUGUAUUGUUAAGAUGUUUCUUCUCCCCUGAUUUAACACACACUCGAUAGAAUACCGUAGCACACAUCUCAUUGUGGAAACUUGGCCUUUUCAUUCUUCGCUCCCAUCUCUGCCCCGGUGGCCUUCUGAAUUGCUGCCACAGAGGACGUUGUUGUCGUGGUCCCUGUGUGCACAGCACUGUUUUCGUACGGUUGUGGGGUUCUCUUUGCCUCAUUGCCCUGCAUGCUGCCCUUCUGGCCUGGGGGCUGAAGCCUGGGGCAUUCUUCAUGGUGUGGCUUUUUGGAGCCGUUGGGUUUACAUCCUGGAAUGUGAAGUCAAGUGGGCCUUAGGAGGCAUCACUAUGAACAAAGCUAGUGGAGGUGAUGGAAUUCCAGUUGAGCUAUUUCAAAUCCUAAAAAUGAUGCUGUGAAAGUGCUGCACUCAACAUGCCAGCAAAUUUGGAAAACUCAGCAGUGGCCACAGGACUGGAAAAGGUCAAUUUUCAUUCUAAUCCCAAAGAGGCAGUGCCAAAGAAUGCUCAAACUACUGCACAAUUGCACUCAUCUCACACGCUAGUAAAGUAAUGCUCAAAAUUCACUAAGCCAGGCUUCAACAGAACAUGAACUGUGAACUUCCAUAUGUUCAAGCUGGUUUUAGAAAAGGCAGAGGAACCAGAGAUCAAACUGCCACCAUUCGAUGGAUCAUCGAAAAACUGAGAGAGUUCCAGAAGAACAUCUAUUUCUGCUUUAUUGACUAUGCCAAAGCCUUUGACUGUGUGGAUCACAAUAAACUGUGGACGAUUCUGAAAGAGAUGGGAAUACCAGACCACCUGACCUGCCUCUUGAGAAACCUGUAUGCAGGUCAGGAAGCAACAGUUAGAACUAGUCAUGGAACAACAGACUGGUUCCAAAUCAGGAAAGGAGUAUGUCAAGGCUGUAUAUUGAUACCCUGUUUAUUUAACUUAUAUGCAGAGUACAUCAUGAGAAACGCUGGGCUGGAUGAAGCACAAGCUGGAAUCAAGAUUGCUGGGAGAAUUAUCAAUACCUCAGAUAUGCAGAUGACACCUCCCUUAUGGCAGAAAGUGAAGAACUAAAGAGCCUCUUGAUGAGAGUGAAAGAGGAGAGUGAAAAAGUUGGCUUAAAGCUCAACAUUCAGAAAACGAAGAUCAUGGCAUUUGGUCCCAUCACUUCAUGGCAAAUAGAUGGGGAAACAGUGGAAACUGGCUGACUUUAUUUUUUGGGGCUCCAAAAUCACUGCAGAUGGUGACUGCAGCCAUGAAAUUAAAAGAUGCUUACUCCUUGGAAGAAAAGUUAUGACCAACUUAGACAGCAUAUUAAAAAGCAGAGACAUUACUUUGCCAACAAAGGUCCAUCUCAUCAAGGCUAUGGUUUUUCCAGUGGUCCUGUAUGGAUGUGAGAGUUGGACUGUGAAGAAAGCUGAAUGCCAAAGAAUUGAUGCUUUUGAACUAUGGUGUUGGAGAAGACGAAUCUUGAGAGUCCCUUGGACUGCAAGGAGAUCCAAGUAGUCCAUCUUAAAGGAGAUCAGUCCUGAGUGUUCACUGGUAGGACUGAUGUUGAAGCUGAAACUCCAAUACUUUGGCCACCUGAUGCGAAGAGCUGACUCAUUUGAAAAGAUCCUGAUGCUGGGAAAGAUCGAAGGUGGGAGAAGGGGUCGACAGAGGAUGAGAUGGUUGGAUGGCAUCACCGACUCAACGGAGAUGAAUUUGAGUAAACUCUGGGAGUUGGUGAUGGACAGGGAGGCCUGGCAUUCUGCGGUCAAUGGGGUCGUGAAGAGUUGGACACAAAUGAGCGACUGAACUAAACUGAGCUGGGUUUGUUCAGCAGGACCCCAGCCCUUCUCUGCCCCAGCUCAUGAAGCAGCUGGUGAGGAGGAGAGGCUAGCAGAUUCCAUGCUGGAGUGGGAGUUCUGUGGGAAUAACGGGAUCACUGAUGGAAUAGCAUUUGCCGGUCCCAAGUAAGAGAGACAGACAGCAGACAGAUGCCUCUAGAGCAAGGAACAUGGGAGCGUCCGAGUGUGUGAGCAGACCCUGGGACCAGAGGGGCAGCCUGGGGGCAGAGACAAAGGUCUUCACUGUCGUUUUGUUUUAUUAUUCACUUAGUUUAUAUAUGUUAUAUAUUUUUAUUUUACUUUUUGGCCUCACUAUGCCGCUUGUGGGACUUGGUUCCCUGACCAGGGAUCAAACCCAUGCCCCCUACAGUGAAAACACGAGUCCUAAGCACUGGCCUGCUGUGGAAUUCCCUUUACUGUGUAUUUUAUAAAGCCUGACUCUCCUGUCUCAGCUUUAUGUUUGGAAAGCUCUGGGCCCAGGGAAUACCACGGUCUACAGUGUGAAUACCAGAUUCCCCUGGUCGUCCGGAUCAUCUCCGAGGAAGCAGCCUGACCCUCUCCAGAACGCACACCAGCCUCACCCCCCAGGAAAGAGCUCCGAUUGCCCUUCUUUGGGAUUGGAAUGAAAACGAACCUCUUCCAGUCCUGCGGCCACUGCUGAGUUUUCCAAAUUUGCUGGCAUAUCGAGUGCAGCACCUUCACAGCAUCAUCUUCUAGAAUUUGAAAUAGCUCAGCUGGAAUUCCAUCUCCUCCACUAGCUUUGUUUGUAGCAAUGCUUCCUAAGGCCCACUGGACUUCACACCCCAGGAUGUCUGGCUCUCGGUAAGUGACCACACCAUUGUGGUUUCCAGGUCAUUAAGACUUUUUUGUAUAGUUCUGUGUAUUCUUGCCACCUCUUUUUAAUCUCUUCUGCUUCUGUUAGGUCCAUACCGUUUGUCUUUGAUCGUGCCCAUCUUUGCAUGAAAUAUUCCUUUGGUAUCUUUAAUUUUCUUGAAGAGAUCUCUAGUCUUUCUCAUUCUAUAGUUUUCCUCUGUUUGCAUUGUUCACUUAAGAAGGCUUAUCUCUCCUUCCUAUUCUCUUGAACUCUGCAUUCAGUUGGGUGUCUGUCCCUUUCUCCUUUGCCUUUGGCUUCUUAGCUAUUUGUAAGGCCUCCUUGGACAACCAUUUUGCCGUUUUGGGUAACUUUUUCUUAGCCAAUGGGAAAGCAAGCAGCUCAGCCAAUGGGAAGCCCUCACCAGCCCUGAACUGGCACUUUCCUCCAAUGGAUUUUCCUCCAAAGCUCGGUUUCCCAACUGCCUACUAUUCUCUGCAGAGUAUUCUGUUUUGCGGACUUGCCUAUGGUUUUUGCUGUGGUAUGCUUGUCCUGAUAGCAAUCCUCUUGCCUUUCCUGAUGAAACCCACUUUGUUAGUAAAAUCACUGCUUUUCAAUAAAUUUGGAUUCCUU
ensembl:lncRNA